CUAAAUACUACCCAGUGACCGAUAGCGUAUAGUACUGUGAAGGAAAGGUGAAAAGCACCCCGGGAGGGGAGUGAAAAAGAACCUGAAACCCUGUGCCUACAAGCACCUAGAGCACGUCAAUGUGUGAUAGGGUACUUUUUGUAGAACGGUCCGGCGAGCGAUUGUAUGCAGCAAGGUUAAGGACUUAAGGUCUGGAGCCGAAGCGAAAGCGAGUUUGAAAAGGGCGUUAAGUUGCAUACAAUGGGCCCGAAACCGGGUGACCUACCCAUGGUCAGGUUGAAGUGGAAGUAAAAUUCCAUGGAGGACCGAACCGACCUCCGUUGAAAAGGCGGCGGAUGAACUGUGGGUAGCGGAGAAAUUCCAAUCGAACCCGGAGAUAGCUGGUUCUCCCCGAAAUAGUUUUAGGACUAGCCUCAAGUUAGAUACCUGGAGGUAAAGCACUGAAUAGCCUAGCGGCCGAGAGGUUAGCGAAGCUUAUCAAACUCAGAAUGCCAGAGUAUUGAUGCUUGGGAGUCAGACAGUGUCAGAUAAAUGUCAUUGUCAAAAGGGAAACAGCCCAGAUCUACAGCUAAGGUCCCAAAGUCAGGUUAAGUGGAAAACGAUGUGAAGAUACGUAGACAACCAGGAUGUUGGCUCAGAAGCAGCCACACAUUCAAAGAGUGCGUAAUAGCUCACUGGUCGAGCGUCUUUGCGCGGAGAAUUUAACGGGGCUAAACCUGACACCGAAGCUUAGGCAAUACAGCAAUGUAUUGGGUAGGGGAGCGUUGUAUACGCGGAGAAACAGUAGCGUAAGCGGCUGUGGAGUGUAUAGAAGUGAGAAUGCCGGAAUGAGUAGCGCGAAUGCAGUGAGAAUCUGCAUGGCCGAAAGCCUCAGGUUUCUGGAGGAAGGUUCGUCCGCUCCAGGUUAGUCGGGAGCUAAGGUGAGGCCUAACGGCGUAGCCGAUGCACAGACGGUAGAGAUUCCGUCACCACCAAAAGAGUUAAACACAGGGACACAUUUGAAGUCUCGGAGCCGGGUGUUGGUUCCGGUAGCGAUCGAGGGAAGUUAGUACCGAAGUCCGGGAUGGAAGAUGGCGAGAAAAGCUGUGUGUAUUUCUGCGGUGCCCGUACCGCAAACCGACACAGGUAGGUAGGAAGAAGAUUCUAAGGCCAACGGGAGAAGGGUUGUUAAGGAACUCGGCAAAUUGACCCCGUAACUUCGGGAGAAGGGGUGCUCCAGAGAUGGAGCCGCAGAGAAUCGGCCCAAGCAACUGUUUACCAAAAACACAGGUUUGUGCUAAAUCGAAAGAUGACGUAUACGAGCUGACGCCUGCCCGGUGCUGGAAGGUUAAGAGGAGAUGUGCAAGCAUUGAAUCGAAGCCCCAGUGAACGGCGGCCGUAACUAUAACGGUCCUAAGGUAGCGAAAUUCCUUGUCAGGUAAGUUCUGACCCGCAUGAAAGGCGUAAUGAUUUGGGCACUGUCUCAACAGCCCGCCCGGCGAAAUUGUAGUACCGGUGAAGAUGCCGGUUACCCGCGACAAGACGGAAAGACCCCAUGGAGCUUUACUGUAGCCUAAUAUUGGGUUUCGAUGUUGCAUGCACAGGAUAGAUGGGACACAGGGAAACAAUCGCUUUGGCGGUUGCGGAGUGGCCGUUGGGAUACCAUCCUUGCGAUAUUGGAAUUCUAACCUGCGGCUCUGAAUCGAGUCGGGGGACAUUGUUAGGUGGGCAGUUUGACUGGGGCGGUCGCCUCCUAAAGAGUAACGGAGGCGCUCAAAGGUUGGCUCAGCACGGACGGAAAUCGUGCAGUGAGUGUAAACGUAUAAGCCAGCCUAACUGCGAGACCGACGGGUCGAGCAGUAACGAAAGUUGGAGUUAGUGAUCCGGUGGUAUGUGAGUGGAAAUGCCAUCGCUCAACGGAUAAAA
rnacentral:rRNA from 1 species